rnacentral:rRNA from 1 species
AUUGAACGCUGGCGGCAGGCCUAACACAUGCAAGUCGAGCGGAUGAAGGGAGCUUGCUCCUGGAUUCAGCGGCGGACGGGUGAGUAAUGCCUAGGAAUCUGCCUGGUAGUGGGGGAUAACGUCCGGAAACGGGCGCUAAUACCGCAUACGUCCUGAGGGAGAAAGUGGGGGAUCUUCGGACCUCACGCUAUCAGAUGAGCCUAGGUCGGAUUAGCUAGUUGGUGGGGUAAAGGCCUACCAAGGCGACGAUCCGUAACUGGUCUGAGAGAAUGAUCAGUCACACUAGAACUGAGACACGGUCCAGACUCCUACGGGAGGCAGCAGUGGGGAAUAUUGGGCAAUGGGCGAAAGCCUGAUCCAGCCAUGCCGCGUGUGUGAAGAAGGUCUUCGGAUUGUAAAGCACUUUAAGUUGGGAGGAAGGGCAGUAAGUUAAUACCUUGCUGUUUUGACGUUACCAACAGAAUAAGCACCGGCUAACUUCGUG